rnacentral:lncRNA from 1 species
CUUUUUUUAAGCUGAUAAUUUUAUAUCUAUGUAAGAUCUUCUGUUUCCUGAACUUCGUGUGAACAGGUCAGGCGCCUGUUGGACCCCUGGAGCCUGGUUAAUGGGAACGACCACAGUGGGCAUCAAAUGGGUAACUUCAGUACGCCAGCACGGUUGAGAACUAUUGUUCAACGCGAACUUCACAUAUGAAGCCCCUCUCAUGUGUCAGGCACGGCGUCAGAUGCUG